UGCGGUAAGAGCGCACCGCGCCGCUGGCGACAGAGGCGGCAUGGCAAGCCCCGCCGGGAGCAAGACCAAAUAGGGAUGGCGCCGCCCUGCGCGGCAGGCCGGUUUCCGGGCCGCCAUCCGGGUAGGUCGCGCGAGGCGGCUGGCGACAGCCGUCCCAGAUGAAUGGUCAUCGCCUGCAUGCAGGUACAGAACCCGGCUUAUAGGCCAUCUGACAGU
rnacentral:RNase_P_RNA from 1 species